rnacentral:rRNA from 1 species
CCUACGGGAGGCAGCAGUAGGGAAUAUUGGGCAAUGGAGGAAACUCUGACCCAGCCAUGCCGCGUGCAGGAUGACGGCCCUCUGGGUUGUAAACUGCUUUUAUACGGGAAGAAAAAAUGCUACGUGUAGCACAUUGACGGUACCGUAAGAAUAAGGAUCGGCUAACUCCGUGCCAGCAGCCGCGGUAAUACGGAGGAUCCAAGCGUUGUCCGGAUUUAUUGGGUUUAAAGGGUGCGUAGGCGGAUCUUUAAGUCAGUGGUGAAAGCCUGCAGCUCAACUGUAGAACAGCCAUUGAAACUGAAGAUCUUGAAUAUGGUUAAAGUAGGCGGAAUGUAUCAUGUAGCGGUGAAAUGCUUAGAUAUGAUACAGAACACCGAUAGCGAAGGCAGCUUGCUGAACCAUUAUUGACGCUGAGGCACGAAAGCGUGGGGAGCAAACAGGAUUAGAUACCCUGGUAGUCCACGCCCUAAACGUUGAUUACUCGUUGUUGGCGAUAUACUNUCAGCGACGUACGACGUAACGUACGUUAAGUUAAGUACCGACCGUACGGUAACGGUAACGUACCGACGAAGGUUAGUUAAACGUUAACGUAAGUUAGUUAGUUAGUACGGACGUUGAGACGUUAGCCGACGGACGACGACGAGGGAGGAGG